GACGAACGCCGGCGGCGUGCCUAACACAUGCAAGUCGAACGAUGAACUGGAGCUUGCUCCAGGGAUUAGUGGCGAACGGGUGAGUAACACGUGAGUAACCUGCCCUUGACUCUGGGAUAAGCGCUGGAAACGGCGUCUAAUACCGGAUACGAGCUUCAGCCGCAUGGCUAGGAGUUGGAAAGAAUUUCGGUCAAGGAUGGACUCGCGGCCUAUCAGCUAGUUGGUGAGGUAAUGGCUCACCAAGGCGACGACGGGUAGCCGGCCUGAGAGGGUGGCCGGCCACACUGGUACUGCGAGACGGCCCAGACUCCUACGGGAGGCAGCGGUGGGGAAUAUUGCACAAUGAGCGCAAGCCUGAUGCAGCAACGCCGCGUGAGGGAUGACGGCCUUCGGGUUGUAAACCUCUUUUAGUAGGGAAGAAGCGAAAGUGACGGUACCUGCAGAAAAAGCACCGGCUAACUACGUGCCAGCCGCCGCCGUAA
rnacentral:rRNA from 1 species